GAUGAAGAACGUAGCGAAAUGCGAUAAGUAAUGCGAAUUGCAGAAUUCCAGUGAGUCAUCGAAUCUUUGAACGCACAUUGCGCCCGCCAGUAUUCUGGCGGGCAUGCCUGUUCGAGCGUCAUUUCAACCCUCAAGCCCCCGGGCUUGGUGUUGGGGAUCGGCGUGCCCUCGCGGCGCGCCGUCCCCUAAAUCUAGUGGCGGUCUCGCUGUAGCUUCCUCUGCGUAGUAGCAACACUCGCACUGGAUCGCAGCGCGGCCACGCCGUUAAACCCCCCACUUCUGAAAGUUUGACCUCGGAUCAGGUAGGAAUACCCGCUGAACUUAAGCAUAUCAAUAAGCGGAGGA
rnacentral:misc_RNA from 1 species